UACGAAGGUGGCAAGCGUUACUCGGAAUUACUAGGCGUAAAGGGCAGGUAGGUGGUUCGGUAAGUCUGUUGUGUAAGCUCCUGGCUUAACUGGGAGAGGUCAACAGAUACUGCCGAGCUUGAGUAUAGGAGAGGGUACUGGAAUUCCCGGUGUAGCGGUGAAAUGCGCAGAGAUCGGGAGGAACAUCAAUGGCGAAAGCAGGUACCUGGACUAUUACUGACACUCAGCUGCGAAAGCUAGGGGAGCAAAC
rnacentral:rRNA from 1 species